CCAGUAGUCAUAUGCUUGUCUCAAAGAUUAAGCCAUGCAUGUCUAAGUAUAAAUCGUUUAUACAGGUGAAACUGCGAAUGGCUCAUUAAAUCAGUUAUAAUUUAUUUGAUAGUACCUUACUACUUGGAUAACCGUGGUAAUUCUAGAGCUAAUACAUGCUAAAACCUCUGACUUCUGGAAGGGGGUGUAUUUAUUAGAUAAAAAACCAAUAUCGGGAAACCGAUUCCAUUGGUGAUUCAUGAUAACUUUUCGAAUCGUACGACUUUACGUCGACGAUGAAUCAUUCAAAUUUCU
rnacentral:rRNA from 1 species